AAAUAUGGGGGAAAAUAUGUAGUGCAAACCACAUAUGUAGUGGAAGCUUGGAAACUACUGUUGGAUCGAGCAAUAGACGUCCGAGAUUCGUCCACGUCAUCGUGAGUUAAAAUUUAACUCGCAGAUCAUUCAUGAGUUAAAAUUUUACUCAUGGUAACGUAGACGAAUCUCGAAUGUCCAUUGCUCGAUCCAGCGGUAGUUUCCAAGUUUUUACUACAUAUGUGGUUUGCACUACAUAUUUUCCCAUAAA
rnacentral:misc_RNA from 1 species